GCUUCCCAAGGCUGGCGGUAAUGUGUUAAAAAAUGCCUUAUAUUAAGUUACAGAGAUAGUAUCACAUAACCUACUCGGUUUAGGUACCAACUCUUCUAGAUCAUUGAUCAAUCAAAGAUGUUUUUCGUGGUUUUUCUAAAUAACAAGCAAAUUAAAUGUUUCUGCAGACACUUUCGGAAAGAAUGAAAUGGACAGUAUGCAAGUAACAAUAACAAUUUAGUCUUUUUUUGACACACAAUAUAUCUCUACAGCUGAAUGCUUGAAAAGGGAAUUUGGAGAGCAACAUUUGUGGGUAACUACUGCUGAGCUACUUGGUUCUUAUAUUGUCAUUGAACUUUUAUUCACAAACAAUCAUGUUUGCCAGUUCAAAAUAGUACAGUGCAACACAUUUGGUUCCAUAGUCCCUGUUCAAUGACGCCUCUGGUCCAUGGUCGGGCGACGCGUUAAGGAUCCCUGAGCUUCUGUGGAUCUCACGCUGCCGACGGAGCCCCACAUCCCCUAGGACCCGACUCCCACCACAAGGGCUCGAUUCCUCUCAUUAUCCCUACUCAUGGCAGUUGACAUGCUCUCCUAUCUUUAGUUGGCGGCAACUAAUCAUCCACUAUUCAAAACUAAAUUUUUCCAAUCUAAUGUGUGUUGGUUGAGUUGUUUUCUGAAGAGUUGUGUUUGUUUGCAUUCUUUCUAUGUGCAGUUGUAGCACAAUCAGGUCAGGGUGCUAGAAUAGUAAAAAGCUCAAGUGAUGGAAAAAAGAUGACACAUGGUGAUUGGAUGAGCUUCGCCUGCAUGCCCCUGCUGCAUCCCCAUGUCUCCAAGUGCAGGUAUUGGCUUCAUGCAGUUCUAUUUUUGCAUACAUGUACAUAAUGGACCACAACUUUGUCUAUUAGGAUGAAUUCUUGUACCUAAUUUACUACUGUUAGCUGCAUGGAUAAUGUGCUCAUAUAGUUUUGGAGAUCAUGGGGAUCAUAUGAUUACUUGUAGGGGACUAAGCGCAGAGAGGAUUGUCGAUCCUUGCCUGCAUAUACAUGCACCAUGGAUGUGUGCCAUAUGGCAUGAUGCACAACAUGCCAUUGAGACCACCGGAUCGUUGCUCAGUACAUCUGGUACAUUCACACGAACCUUCCUCCACUGUAGUGUCACCGCUGUUUGUCUCGUCUCUUGACUACGACACUUUGUACCACAAGAGCACAUCAGUAGCUUCAGGAUAGGGGGCAAUCCUAUUAUCCUUUCAUGAGUGAUGACCCACUACUUUCACCUUUUUGAAACCAAACAUUACACAAAUUGAUCCUGUGGCAUGUAAUAUUGUUAUCUUGUAUUAACAAAUCUAGCGUCAGCUCUGAUGAUACAAACAAAAUAAACAUAGAUGCUGAUAAGCUUAAUCAAUUUAACAGUUUAUCAUGGAUUAUAAAGCUUUCCUUUCCUUCAUCUUUUAUACUUUCUUUGGUUUGUCAUGGAUUAGUUGCAAAAACUUGUGAAAUACAAUUCAUUGUUUGUCUUUAUAGUUGGCAUGUGAUAUAUUUUCUCAAGUUCAUGACCGUGAUGCGCACAACUAACAUAUGAUUCACAUAUUGUUCCCUUUGGUCUUUACAUUAGCAAAGUUUCUCCCUGGCUUUCUUUAAAGUUCUAUUUUGGGCAUCCAUGCAUUUUCUCUUUGGUCAGUUUAAUCAAUUUACCCUUUUUCUUGAAACAGAUAAAUGUUGUACCUCUUGAACAUGUCAUCAUAGGAGUUCUCUUCUUUAUUGUAUUUAUGUUUAUUUUUGAAGAAAUUUCGUUCAGUGGUUAUGUUGUAUCUUAAUUAUGCUAUAAUAUUUGAAAGCACCAAAUAGUAUGAUGUAAUCCUCUAAGCAUGGUUGACAUACUUGCUUUGUCAUAUUUACUAUCAUAAAUUUCUUUCAAUGGGAUAUCUGGAAAUACUGUUUUCUAUGUGUUCCCAUUGGUGCCUGAAUAAUUUGUCACUCUUUCAAUGGGAUAUAUUUGUUGCUAAUGGUCAUUUAUAAAGAAUUAUAAAGCAUCCAUCUGU
rnacentral:lncRNA from 1 species